AGAAUUGACGGGGGCCCGCACAAGCGGUGGAGCAUGUGGUUUAAUUCGAUGCAACGCGAAGAACCUUACCUACUCUUGACAUCCGCUGCAUGGCUGUCGUCAGCUCGUGUUGUGAAAUGUUGGGUUAAGUCCCGCAACGAGCGCAACCCUUAUCCUUUGUUGCCAGCGAUUCGGUCGGGAACUCAAAGGAGACUGCCGGUGAUAAACCGGAGGAAGGUGGGGAUGACGUCAAGUCAUCAUGGCCCUUACGAGUAGGGCUACACACGUGCUACAAUGGCGUAUACAAAGAGAAGCGAACUCGCGAGAGCAAGCGGACCUCAUAAAGUACGUCGUAGUCCGGAUUGGAGUCUGCAACUCGACUCCAUGAAGUCGGAAUCGCUAGUA
rnacentral:rRNA from 1 species